rnacentral:rRNA from 1 species
AUGAACGCUGGCGGUAUGCUUAACACAUGCAAGUCGAACGGACUCUUCGGAGUUAGUGGCGGACGGGUGAGUAACGCGUGAGAAUCUGGCUUUGGGUUCGGGACAACCACUGGAAACGGUGGCUAAUACCGGAUGUGCCGAGGGGUAAAAGAGAAAUUGCCUGAAGAUGAGCUCGCGUCUGAUUAGCUAGUUGGUGAGGUAAAGGCUCACCAAGGCAGCGAUCAGUAGCUGGUCUGAGAGGAUGACCAGCCACACUGGGACUGAGACACGGCCCAGACUCCUACGGGAGGCAGCAGUGGGGAAUUUUCCGCAAUGGGCGAAAGCCUGACGGAGCAAUACCGCGUGAGGGAAGAAGGCUCUUGGGUUGUAAACCUCUUUUCUUAGGGAAGAACAAAAUGACGGUACCUAAGGAAUCAGCAUCGGCUAACUCCGUG